rnacentral:rRNA from 1 species
UACGAGGGGGGCAAGCGUUGCUCGGAAUUACUGGGCGUAAAGGGCGCGUAGGCGGGUCGUUAAGUUGGGGGUGAAAGCCCAGGGCUCAACCCUGGAAUUGACCUUCAAUACUGGCGACCUUGAGUAUGGCAGAGGUGUGUGGAACUCCGAGUGUAGAGGUGAAAUUCGUAGAUAUUCGGAAGAAACACCAGUGGCGAAGGCGACACACUGGGCCAUUACUGACGCUGAGGCGGCGAAAAGCGUGGGGAGCAAACAGGG